rnacentral:rRNA from 1 species
CUAACCUCGAUAGACGCUCC